rnacentral:rRNA from 1 species
UACGUAGGGGGCAAGCGUUGUCCGGAAUUAUUGGGCGUAAAGCGCGCGCAGGCGGUCCUUUAAGUCUGAUGGGAAAGCCCACGGCUCAACCGUGGAGGGUCAUUGGAAACUGGAGGACUUGAGUACAGAAGAGGAAAGCGGAAUUCCACGUGUAGCGGUGAAAUGCGUAGAGAUGUGGAGGAACACCAGUGGCGAAAGCGGCUUUCUGGUCUGUAACUGACGCUGAGGCGCGAAAGCGUGGGGAGCAAACAGG